AUGACUAAGCUUGCGCUCCUUGUCCGAAGCACUGCACUGCUCCUUUGCCUAUUGAUCUUUCAAGCAGGGUCCACUUCCCAUGGCCAAGCGAGUGUAUCAGGAGCCCGCAUCAGCAGCGACCGAUAUGCGCUUCUGUCCUUCAAGGCAAGCCUCCUAGACCGUGCUGACCGUCUCUCGUCAUGGCAGGGUGAGGAUUGUUGCGAAUGGAAGGGAGUCCGGUGCAGCAACAGAAUGGGCCAUCUCAUCAAGCUCAACCUCGGCAACAUCGACAUGGACUACUACAACUACCCGAACAUGAGCAGAUCAUUGAGCUUGUUGGCAGCGGACACAGGCUCUUCAUUGGCUACUUUACAAAACCUGGGGUAUCUUGAUCUGAGCGGGAAUUACUUCAACGACACAAGCAUCCCUGUGUUCUUGGCUUCCCUCAAAUAA
rnacentral:rRNA from 1 species